rnacentral:rRNA from 1 species
CUACGGGAGGCAGCAGUGGGGAAUAUUGCACAAUGGGGGAAACCCUGAUGCAGCAACGCCGCGUGAAGGAAGACGGUUUUCGGAUUGUAAACUUCUGUUCUUAGUGAAGAAUAAUGACGGUAGCUAAGGAGCAAGCCACGGCUAACUACGUGCCAGCAGCCGCGGUAAUACGUAGGUGGCAAGCGUUGUCCGGAAUUACUGGGUGUAAAGGGAGCGCAGGCGGGAAGCCAAGUCAGCUGUGAAAACUACAGGCUUAACUUGUAGACUGCAGCUGAAACUGGUUUUCUUGAGUGAAGUAGAGGUUGGCGGAAUUCCGAGUGUAGCGGUGAAAUGCGUAGAUAUUCGGAGGAACACCGGUGGCGAAGGCGGCCAACUGGGCCUUAACUGACGCUGAGGCUCGAAAGUGUGGGGAGCAAACAGGAUUAGAUACCCUGGUAGUCCACACUGUAAACGAUGAUUGCUAGGUGUGGGGGGUCUGACCCCUUCCGUGCCGCAGCUAACGCAAUAAGCAAUCCACCUGGGGAGUACGACCGCAAGGUUGC